GUAUGGGCAUGUUUCCAUAGUUCCUGUUGAAUCAUUAGGAUAUUUUAAAUAAAUAAUAGACAAUAAUUUGUUUGGCUACUUUGUUCAUUAGUAAUUUACGAUGCAUCGGUAAUCGUGAUAAUCGUGAUAACUGUGAUCAUGGUCAAUACCGUGAUCAUCGUUCAAAAAUUGAAUUGUAGCACCCUGAAUUGUAAUCUAAUCGAAUUGUGGGGUGCCUAAUAUGGCACACCCCUAAUAGAUUUAAGAGGGAACAAAUAUUAAAGUUCUACGUUGUUCACGUUACCCUCAGUAAAUAAGUUUAAGGUCACACACAAUGAUGUUUGUAAAAUGGUGGCAAAAAAUAAAUAAAUAAAUAAACUUAAAAUUAUGCCACAUCGGGGAAGUAUGGAGACAGAAUUUACUUUCAUUGGCUGCUCCUGAGCCUCAUGCACCGCGCCACUUCAAGAAUCAGCUCACUAUACUGAACGCAGAAUACAAGGAGGGAGGUGACCAAGACGUCUCUCAUUUACGGUGGCCUAAUAAAUAACCCAUUAACAUUUGCGGGCGGAACAUACUAAAAACAACAGUCUCAUGCUUCACGGCUCCCAGCAUGCAUAGUGGGAUGCGCCUCUCUCCUGCACUAGUAUUCACCCCAUCCUCUGAUUGGUUAAAUGACAAUGGUAAAUGUAGGUACACUUGUAUUGCACCUUUCUACCUUUUUAAGGCCUUCAAGGCACUUCACACUGUAUCCUUAUCUACCUACUGAUAGCACCAGGAGCAACGUGGGGUUUAGUAUCUUGCUCAAGGAUACUUAGACGAGGUCAUCAGGGCCGAGAAUUGAACCCAUAACCUCUGAGUUGCAGAACAACUACUCUACCACUGAACCACACUACAACCCCAAGCAGCAGAGACAGAGCCUCCGAAGAAGGAGCUGUCCUCACACACACUGGAGAGUGAGAGUAGAGGUUUUCUUGUGAGAGAAGCUCCGGACAAGAAAACUCCCAAUUCAGGCACUUCUGGAGAAUAUGGACCAGGUCAGCAUGAUCUCAAGGAUGGCAUCAUAGACUGAUGAAUAGGGAGGGCUGUAUCCCUGCUUGAGCCAACCGUCGGCCAUUGCGUUGACAGUGCCCAUCUCAACAGUGAACUGUGAGAGAGAUUUCUCUGCAAUGAACAAAGGAAGACAUUUGGUCAGAACUGAACAAUUUGCCUAGGGUGAGACGCCGGUGACAACAAGCAACCCUGAGUGGAGCUUCCGAUAGUUCACCUGCUCUGUAUUCAGGUCCACACACAGCAUCUCAUGUCAACAUCGAGAGAAUUCAUUGAAAUGGGGCGGCCUUGCCCUCCACAUCCUUCACAUCCUCUGAGCCAUCACAGCGGAUAUUUGAUAUUGGUACA